rnacentral:rRNA from 1 species
GGAUUAGAUACCCUGGUAGUCCACGCCGUAAACGAUGUAUACUAGUUGUCGGGAAAAGUCUCGGUGACGUAGCUAACGCAUUAAGUAUACCGCCUGGGGAGUACGGUCGCAAGAUUAAAACUCAAAGAAAUUGACGGGGACCCGCACAAGCGGUGGAGCAUGUGGUUUAAUUCGAAGCAACGCGAAGAACCUUACCCACCUUUGACAUGGUAGUUAUGGAUAGUGGAGACACUUUCUGUCAUUUAGUUGGACUACACACAGGUGCUGCAUGGCUGUCGUCAGCUCGUGCCG